rnacentral:rRNA from 1 species
UACGAAGGGGGCUAGCGUUGUUCGGAAUCACUGGGCGUAAAGCGCACGUAGGCGGAUCUUUAAGUCAGGGGUGAAAUCCCGAGGCUCAACCUCGGAACUGCCUUUGAUACUGGGGAUCUCGAGUCCGGGAGAGGUGAGUGGAACUGCGAGUGUAGAGGUGAAAUUCGUAGAUAUUCGCAAGAACACCAGUGGCGAAGGCGGCUCACUGGCCCGGUUCUGACGCUGAGGCGCGAAACGUGGGGAGCAAACAGGG